ACUAACUGUUUAGUCUCCCCCCCACUUCCUUUUCCACAGGCUUGAGAAAAAUUGUUUUCGCAGCAAACUAUUGCUUUUGUCCUGCAUCUGCACCCCAUGAGGUUAAGCAUCAUCUGUAUGGCGACAUCAUUAAGAACAGAUGGGUCGUAACGAGCUGUAUGGUGACAAUAAGAAGAGGUGGGUCGUAACUAGCUGUAAGGUGACAAUAAGAAGAGGUGGGUCGUAACUAGCUGUAUGGUGACAUUAAGAACAGGUGGGUCGUAACUAGCUGUAUGGC
rnacentral:lncRNA from 1 species